rnacentral:rRNA from 1 species
AAUGAACGCUGGCGGCAUGCCUAACACAUGCAAGUCGAACGAAGGCUUCGGCCUUAGUGGCGCACGGGUGCGUAACGCGUGGGAAUCUGCCCUUGGGUUCGGAAUAACAGUUAGAAAUGACUGCUAAUACCGGAUGAUGUCGUAGGACCAAAGAUUUAUCGCCCAAGGAUGAGCCCGCGUAGGAUUAGCUAGUUGGUGGGGUAAAGGCCCACCAAGGCGACGAUCCUUAGCUGGUCUGAGAGGAUGAUCAGCCACACUGGGACUGAGACACGGCCCAGACUCCUACGGGAGGCAGCAGUGGGGAAUAUUGGACAAUGGGCGAAAGCCUGAUCCAGCAAUGCCGCGUGAGUGAUGAAGGCCUUAGGGUUGUAAAGCUCUUUUACCCGGGAUGAUAAUGACAGUACCGGGAGAAUAAGCUCCGGCUAACUUCGUGCCAGCCGCCGCCGUAA